GACGGAGGGGGCAAGGGUUGUUCGGAAUUAUUGGGCGUAAAGGGCUCGUAGGCGGCCAACUAAGUCAGACGUGAAAUCCCUCGGCUUAACCGGGGAACUGCGUCUGAUACUGGAUGGCUUGAGAUUGGGAGAGGGAUGCGGAAUUCCAGGUGUAGCGGUGAAAUGCGUAGAUAUCUGGAGGAACACCGGUGGCGAGGGCGGCAUCCUGGACCAACACUGACGCUGAGUGAGCGAAAGCCAGGGGAGCAAACGGG
rnacentral:rRNA from 1 species